rnacentral:tRNA from 1 species
GGAAGAUUAGCUCAGUUGGGAGAGCGUCGCCCUUACAAGGCGAAUGUCGUGGGUUCGAGUCCCUUAUCUUCCACCA